rnacentral:rRNA from 1 species
GAUGAACGCUGGCGGCGUGCCUAAUACAUGCAAGUCGAGCGAACGGACGAGAAGCUUGCUUCUCUGAUGUUAGCGGCGGACGGGUGAGUAACACGUGGAUAACCUACCUAUAAGACUGGGAUAACUUCGGGAAACCGUAUCUAAUACCGGAUAAUAUUUUGAACCGCAUGGUGCAAUAGUGAAAGACGGUCGUGCUGUCACUUAUAGAUGGAUCCGCGCUGCAUUAGCUAGUUGGUAAGGUAACGGCUUACCAAGGCAACGAUGCAUAGACGACCUGAGAGGGUGAUCGGCCACCCUAGAACUGAGACACGGUCCAGACUACUACGGGAGGCAGCAGUAGGGAAUCUUCCGCAAUGGGCGAAAGCCUGACGGAGCAACGCCGCGUGAGUGAUGAAGGUCUUCGGAUCGUAAAACUCUGUUAUUAGGGAAGAACAUAUGUGUAAGUAACUGUGCACAUCUUGACGGUACCUAAUCAGAAGGCCACGGCUAACUACGUG